ACUGCUCCUUGUGGCAUUGCAAGUGUGGCUGCCAUGUCAAUGUGCAUCAGGACGUGGCUUAGAGGAGAAAGGCUGUGUCUACAGUGCUCUAACUUGUGAACAUCUGAAUAAUUAUUAGCCUAACAAA